CCCAGGGUCUACCCAACGUGUGAAGGAGCUGUGCACACAUUUGUGUUCAUUCUUCUCAUAACAGCUGCCCCUUGACCAACCCAUCAUAGAGGUGUGCACACCAGAAGAAGUGUCCACUCUGGGGUGGAGGGACUCAAGAAAAGGCUUGUGCCAGCACUGAAAUUCUGGGGUUCCUGAUACCUGGACCAUGGUUUAAAAGGAGGGGUAUAGGCUCUAGGUGGGCAUGUCUUCUUGGCUCCUUGGGCCCCUCACCCCAUGGCUGGAGAAGGACCAGAAUGAGUGCCUCUAAAUUAUGGAGAUCGAAGGACACCGCCAAAGCAUGGCUUGAUGAGCAGUGUGUAGGUCUGCCCCCGGGAUCUGAACCCACAAACCCUGGGCAGCUGAAGUGGAGUGUCCUAACCUAACCACUACGCCACUGGGCUGGCCCCAGAAGUUUUUAAUUAAGAGGGAUUCAGUAAGGAAGACAAGUAAAGGUUUAGAAGUCAGGUAAUUAUUUUCCUUUACCCUUAUUUUGCUUUAUACUCAGAUGACAUGAUCUUUUAGAAGGCAAGGCAAACAUCUACACACAUAUAUAUCUUUUUUUAUAAUUAUAAGAAAUGCACUGGCACAGACUGUUGUUUCUUAACGAGACCCUCAAGCCUAUGAGUCCUUCCUACUGAUGUAAUUUCUGACCCUUCCAUAAUUGUAAUGACUCACAGUCCUGAAACCCACUGAGUGAGUGGGGCUAUUGAUUUUAUGGUGAUCUAUACCAAAGUAAAGAUUUAUAAGUGUGUGGAUCUUGACGACUGUGCUACUUAAAAAGACCUGAAACAAGUGAAACACUGGUGAGCUGAAAUAGGUUUGCUGUAAAGAUUUGAAUCCAUGAGGACAGGACAACAUCCUCCCCACAACAAGGAAGUCUUUGGUUAAAGUGGUGAAAUGAGCACAGCAUCAAGCUAUCCC
rnacentral:lncRNA from 1 species